rnacentral:lncRNA from 1 species
GUUGGGGCAAGUAUGGACAAAACAUUCAAGCGUGAUACAGCUCUGAAUUUGGAUUGUGAUCAAAUUUUUGACAUUAUAUGUUUUUUUUACACAAAAAACAAAUGUCAAGAUUUUACAAAUCAAUUAAAGAUUUCUUCAAACUUUUUAAAUCUAAAAUUAAAUAGUUGACACAGCAUAGGUUUCUGACACAGAAUGAAUGUGGUCUAAUGAACUUAAAAGUUUUUU